AGCUGUCUGUGCCUGCCUCCAUGAUGACGGUGUAUGGCGUUCCCCUGAUGGCCUCCCCUACCUUCCCCACCAUUUCUUUCCCCAUUUUGUAAAACUGACCCAUGGGCAUGACCAUGUGUCAAAAGGAGGGACGGUUAAAGCACUAAAACCACACUGGUGCACUGUAGGGUUCACUAAUUUUGCUGAUCCUUUUUGUCAAAAAAUGCUUGAUUUGUGCUACUAACAAUGUCCACAAAACUAACAAACAGGUCUCCCAUGGACUAAGUGUCUCCCCAUUGCUUUGAUGUGCAUUUGUGCUUGUUG